AUUCUGCCCAAGCGGGGAAGGAUGAGAAGCUUCGACCAAGGUUCGACUCGAGCGCCAGCGAGAGAGCGUUGCCGCAGGCAACGACCCGAAGGGCGAAG
rnacentral:sRNA from 1 species